UACGUAGGGGGCCAGCGUUGUUCGGAAUUACUGGGUGUAAAGGGUUCGUAGGCGGUGCGGCAAGUUGGGAGUGAAAUCUCUGGGCUUAACCCAGAGACGGCUUCCAAAACUGCUGUGCUUGAGUGUGGGAGAGGCUCGUGGAAUUGCAGGUGUAGCGGUGAAAUGCGUAGAUAUCUGCAGGAACACCCGUGGCGAAAGCGGCUCUCUGGAACGCAACUGACGCUGAGACGCGAAAGCGUGGGGAGCGAACAGG
rnacentral:rRNA from 1 species